CGCUUCAGGAUUGGCCUAUGACCUAUCAGCUAGUUGGUAGAGUAACAGCCUACCAAGGCAAUGACGGGUAGCGGGGAUGAGAGUCCGACCCGCCUCACUGGGACUGAGACACUGCCCAGACACCUACGGGUGGCUGCAGUCAAGAAUCUUUCCCAAUGGGCGAAAGCCUGAGGGAGCGACGCCGCGUGAGUGAUGAAGCCUUUCGGGGUGUAAAACUCUUUUCUGUCUGACGAACCUCUAUCUUUCAAUUGAAAGAUAGAGCUGACUGUAAGACAGGAAUAAGGACCUGCUAAUCACGUGCCAGCAGCCGCGGUCAAGACGUGAGGUCCAAGCGUUAUCCGGAUUUAUUGGGCGUAAAGUGUGCGUACGUGGUCAGUUAACUUCUUGGUUAAAUCUCAUGCUCAGAUUGGGACUGUCAAAAAAAUACUUGACUAGAGGCCGGGAGAGGCAAGCGGAACUACUGGUGGAGGGGUAAAAUCCGUUGAUAUCAGUAGGAACACCAAAAGCGAAGGCAGCUUGCUAGAACGGUUCUGACACUGAGGCACGAAAGCGUGGGGAGAGAAAAGGAUUAGAUACCCUUGUAUUCCACGCCCUAAACGAUGGAUGCUGGACAUUGGAAGUGUCGACCCUUUCAGUGUCGUUUGAUUUAAGUUUACGCGUUAAGCAUCCCGCCUGGGAAGUACGGCCGCAAGGCUAAAACUCAAAGGAAUAGACGGGAGUCCGCACAAGCGGUGGACCAUGUGGUUCAAUUCGUAGACAAGCGAGGAACCUUACCAGGGUUUGACAUCCAGUCUUGAUGUUCUGUCUGAAAGGAUGGGACUGUCACGCAAGUGAUAAGGGCUGGACAGGUGUUGCAUGGUCGUCGUCAGCUCGUGGCUUGAGCUGUACCCUUAAGUGGGGAAACGAGCGCAACCCUUGUCCUUAGUUGCUCCGACAGUAAUGUUGGGGGUCUCUAAGGAGACUGCCCCGGAUAACGGGGAGGAAGGUGGGGAUGACGUCAGAUCAGCAUGACCCUUAUGCCCUGGGCGACACACGUGGUACAAUGGCCGGUACAAAGGGACGCCAAGCCGUAAGGCGGAGCAAAUCCCAUUAAAACCGGUCUCAGUUCGGAUUGAGGUCUGCAACUCGACCU
rnacentral:rRNA from 1 species